rnacentral:rRNA from 1 species
UGCGGAAGGAUCAGUAGAGAAUAUUGGACUUCGGUCCA